rnacentral:rRNA from 1 species
UAUAGUAGAGAAGUAGCCCGGCGAAAGUCGGAUUUAAUGCUCUAUGUUCUCUUUUGAUGGCAUCUGACGAGAAGCAAAGGUUCACCGCUAUAGGAUGGGGAUGCGUCUGAUUAGGUAGUCGGCGGGUAACGGCCCACCGAGCCAUCGAUCAGUAGGGGUUCUGAGAGGAAGGUCCCCCACAUUGGUACUGAGACACGGACCAAACUCCUACGGGAGGCAGCAGUGAGGAAUAUUGGUCAAUGGGCGAGAGCCUGAACCAGCCAAGUAGCGUAGCAGGAUGACUGCCCUAUGGGUUGUAAACUGCUUUUAUAGGGGAAUAAAGUGAGGUACGUGUACCUUUUUGUAUGUACCCUAUGAAUAAGGACCGGCUAAUUCCGUGCCAGCAGCGGC